rnacentral:tRNA from 1 species
CGGGGUGUAGCGCAGCCUGGUAGCGCACCUGAUUUGGGAUCAGGGGGUCGGAGGUUCGAAUCCUCUCGCUCCGA